UUCUGAGGGUUUAAAAUUCGAUACCUUGCUAAAGUAUUCCUUAAGGCGAACGAAGGUAUACACUAUGCCCGAAAAUAUCUACUUAAAAUAGUAAAUAUAGAUGGCGUGACAACCCGCUGUUAUGAUUACAGCUGAUGAAUUGUUGAAGCAUUCUCCUCAAGAUAUAAGUAGAUAUAUAGAAUAUCUAAAAAUACAAAGUAAGUUCAUGAGUUCGAAAUAACAUAUACCUAUGUAGCAAUGAAAAAGGAAAAAAUCGAUGAAAUCUCUAUUUAAGAUAUGACAUUUAGAUGGCGUUUGAUACAGAAUUACAUAAUACAUUAAGGUACAUUAUUUAAAGUUUUUUCUAACUUUCCGGCUUAUCGCUCACCUUUUAUUAAUCACUUUUAAUAAAAUUUGAUACUGGAACAGUUUUAUCAGGACGUUUAGAGAGAGAGAUAGAACAAAUAUUGCAUUUACCCUGGAAAUUUCUUAAUCAUCUGAUACUGAGGACACAAUUUCUUAAUAAUAAUUUACCUGAAGUGACAGAGAAUUGUGCUCUAUUUUGAAUAAAUAACAUUUUUAGCGAAAAAACUGUUUUUAUUGUCCAGAACUUGUAUUUUAUAGCGAAGAAAAGAGAUAGCACAUAUUUUCCUGUAAAAACUACUUUCCUUUAAAAUAAAUGAUAAAUGACCAUAUUUCAAUAAAAACAAGUAAAAAACCAGAUAAGUUCGAACCUUUAAUGCCCUUCACCAUUUUGAAGGAAUUUGAAAAAAUUAAAAAAAAAAAAAACUAGAAAAAUACCUGUCAAAUGAGACCCCUUAUAUGUGGGGCUAUACAAGGCGUUCAUAAGUAACUUUUUGUCAUAGCUGUAGAACCGAAUCCGUACCUCAAAAAGGAAACUUGAAACCUGCAUACGUGAUUUUUGUCAUAGUGUGUAGUACCCGUUACGAACUUCAAAUACAAAAUUUGAAACAAUUCUGGAGAAUAAUUUCGCUUAAAUCAUCCAAAUACCGAAUCAUCCUAUCCGAAAACUUAGAUUUGCACACGCGAUUUUUUGUUGUAGGCUCUAGUACCCAUUACGAUAUUCAAAUACGAAAUUUGAAACAAUUCCAGUGUAUAAUGUCGCUAAAAUCAUCAAAAUACAGAAUAUCGGAGGUAUGGUUAUGUGGGGCUACCGGUUACGAACUUCAAAUACGAAAUUUGAAACAAUUUUGGAGAAUAAUUUCGCUAAAAUUAUCCAAAUCCGGAAAAUGGGAGGUAACGUUAUAUGGGGGCUAUCCGAAGACGCAGACCUGCAUACGCGAUUUUGUAUUUAGGCAGUAGUACCCAUUACAAACUUCAACUACAAAAUUUGAAACAAUUCCGGUUAAUAAUGUCGCUAAAAUCAUCAAAAUAUCGAAUAUCGGGAGGUAACGUUAUACCCUCCAUACUAUGGUGGAGGGUACAAAAAAAAAACAGUUUUAUGUACUUUUAAUUUUUGGCAAUGAGUUUUUGGUUGUGGCAUGGUAGAUUUGUGGAUUUCCAAUGUUUUCUUUUAAAUAUAAUUUAUUAAAUAUAUAUAAAUAUAUUUUCUCAACAACAUUUGCCACAAGUUUCUCAAUAUCGAAAGAUUUUAAAACACACAAUUCGGAUUGAAAAGUUAUUAAUUUAUUAUUCUGGAGAACAUGAAUGUUGGAUAUUGAGAAUCUUGUUAUUGGUGUCAAAUUAAAUUUGAUUUAUUUACAAAACAUCCAUUCUAUUUUAUUUUCUUCAAAUCCUAUUCAAACAAUAUACAACACACUCCACUUUGUAGAUGCCUUAAAGACAGUGCCUCUUUUUAUAUAAAAACCAAUUAAAAGAAAAAAUACUAAAUAACCGAAUAAAAUAUAUAUAUAAAUGUCGAAAUGGACAAAUUAUAUUCCUACAAAGAAAAUUAUUAUUAAAAAAGUUAGAAACACAUCCAUGAUUGACAAGGAAUUUCAAAAGCAGGUGGUUAAUUAAAUUUGGCUUAGAUGCUAAGAAAAAAAAGAUCGGAAUAAGAAAACAUUUAACCUAAACCUUUUCCCUAUCACAAACGGACACAGGAAAUCAUGAAAUAAUGGCUUUAAGAAUCUUAAGAAAAAUACAAAAAAAAAAUAAAAUUGAAACAUAUAGAAACCAUUAAGAUUGGAACGUACAAAUUUAAUGCAAAAGUAAAAGCUGUGUGUAAGAAACAAAUAAGAAAACAUAAAUACAGUAUCCUUUUUAUGGAAAAUUACAUAUAUAAAAAAAUAAUUAAUUAAUAAUAUAAUUAGGAGGAAACAAAAAAAAAAAUAAAAUCAAUGUACUUUUCUGUGACAAAGAAUGAAAUGUUAUACAAAUCCCCCCUCUCAAUGGAAAACAAACUAUAGGCUGUUACAAAUUGAAAAAGAGAAUUAGUUAAAAAUGUAAUUAUAAAGAAAUGUUAUAGGAUAAAUUGAACGGCAUAUGUUGAUUGAAGAAUUUAAGGAUAAACUGAAUUCGUAUUAAAAAUUAUGAUGUGAAAAAUCAUUAUUCAUUAAUUCGAAAGAUAUGCCUAUUAUACAUUCUCAUCGAAAGUCAGACACAGCGCUAUCAAUUAUGCCAACGAAAUUGAUGAGAGGGAACGAAGAGGAAUUGAAACAAGGUUAAUCGUUGAUUGGCUCAUAAAUGAAAAAAUCUGUGUCUACUUUCGAUCAAGAAAAUGGAGAUGACAUUAACACCUUCUCAGACAAUGGUUGGUUUAAAAAUACAUAAAAGUGGUCGUUUAUUUUGGCACUGCGUGUACAGGGUAGGAUAAAAAUAAAUGCAACAAAGUCAAACGCCAUAAUUUUUACAUUUCUUCUUUAAAUUUUAUUAAAUGAAAGCAAUUUUAGAAUAAGUUUAGAUUUGUUCGAAUUGAUCACCUUUGGCAUUCAAACGGCCAAUGAAACCGUCACACGCUGCCCGAAUGUUGCUGUGCAGUAUUUUAGCCUAUUCCCAGCGCAGCGCUUGCGCUUGCUUGAGGUGAUCGACACUUUGGUAUAUUUUAGUGCCAACCUUGCUUUCCAAAAUACUCUAGACACAAUAGUCCAACGGAUUGGUAUUCGGAGAUUUUGAUGGCCAUUGUGCGCUGGAAAUAAAGCGAGGAACCUCAUUUUGUAACCAGUCUUGGGUGACGCGUGCUGAGUCCUGUUGGAAUGUCCAAGGUCUGUUUUCAAAAUGUUUGCGUGCCCAAGGCUUUAAUACACCCUCCAAAAUAUUUUCGCGAUAAUAUUCGGCAUUUAUUCUGAUGCCACGGUCGAUUAAUACGAGCGGACAGCGACCAUUGGCUAUUAUGGCAGCCCACACCAUCACCAUGGGCGACGAUUGAGUUUUGGUGGCCAACCGAAGGUGCACAUUUUCAGUUGAUCUCUUUGGCAAGUAAAAACGUUAACUUUCUUUGUUUACAAACUGAUGGACAAGGAAUCUUUUCUCAUCGGAGAAAACCAAAUUUGGCCGUUCACCACUUUCGGGCCAAGCGAAGCAACUCUUUAGCUCUUUUAGUUUAUUUUCUUUCUGUUGCGGUGUAUGUUUUUGCACAUUUUGGAAUUUCAAUAGCUUUACCCCGAGCUCAUUUUUUCAAUAUUUGUCGAAUGGAAUAUUGCGAUAUGUUCAGCUUACGAUCCAUUUUUCGGCUACUGCGAUGCGGGUUUCGAUCAAGUCGUUUCUUUACUUUUCGAAGCAUUUCUGCUGAGUUGCUGUUUUCUUCCGUCCACUUGAAGUCGGGCUACGCUACCAGUAUCACGGUAACGAGACAAGGCGAUGGUACGAGACACAAAAGAUUUAUUCACAAUUAAAUACUGGAGUGCUCAAACGACAGCCUAUCACGCUAUCACAAAUAACUUUUUUUCUGAAAAAUUAUAUUACGCUUGUAAACAAUAUAAUAAGCUGUCACUGGAAUAAUUUUAACAGCUGUCGGAAGGCGUAGAAAUGACAGCAGUCUGAAAUUGGUUGCAGUUUUCUCAUCCUGAAGGGGAAAUUGCAGAAACCACCAUGGACUAUUUUCCGAAAAAAUGCAAAACUAGCAGAUUCUUAUAGGUUCUGGAUCCGAUCAUAUGUCUUCAUGACUUUCGAGUCUCGUUUUUGUUACAUCCAUUAACUCGGUUUAUGUCAUCUCCAAAUAACACAUCCAUUCUACAAAGUCAAUGUACAUUUUUCCUUGAAAAAGAAAUCUCUCCUUAAAAAUAUUUUAAAUGUUAAAAAUGGAAAUAAAUAAAUGUUAAUUGUUAUAAAAUAAGUUAACUGUUCAUAAAAAAAUAAAUUGAAAUUUGUGUUGAUUAUUUAUUGUAAUUUUUGUUUUCCAAAACUAUUCGUUAAGUAAGUCUUAAUCUUAAUAAAGAUAAAAAAGAUUUGCCACAUUAAGGUCAAGGGGACCACAACCAAAAACACAUGGAACUUGGACAAACAUAGAGACCCACAACAAAUUAACUCUAAACCUAGGACACUAGUUACAAAAAACAAA